rnacentral:rRNA from 1 species
AACGAACGCUGGCGGUAUGCCUAACACAUGCAAGUCGAACGAGACCUUCGGGUCUAGUGGCGCACGGGUGCGUAACGCGUGGGAACCUGCCCUUAGGUUCGGAAUAACUCCCCGAAAGGGGUGCUAAUACCGGAUAAUGUCUUCGGACCAAAGAUUUAUCGCCUUUGGAUGGGCCCGCGUUGGAUUAGCUAGUUGGUAGGGUAAAAGCCUACCAAGGCGACGAUCCAUAGCUGGUCUGAGAGGAUGAUCAGCCACACUGGGACUGAGACACGGCCCAGACUCCUACGGGAGGCAGCAGUGGGGAAUAUUGGACAAUGGGCGAAAGCCUGAUCCAGCAAAGCCGCGUGAGUGAUGAAGGCCUUAGGGUUGUAAAGCUCUUUUACCCGGGAUGAUAAUGACAGUACCGGGAGAAUAAGCUCCGGCUAACUCCGUG